CCUACACAUAAGUCUCUGCUGAUCCACAACACAUCGCUCAGGUCGGAGCAAUGCCCAGAAUAAGAAUUCCAGUUCGAGGUGCGACGCUGAGACUCCUCCCCCGACCGCGGCCCUGUCUGAAGUGAGUUUGGUAAUGCUUUGAAUACUUGAUCAUGCUGAUCACAAUGCAUGUUUCGGUAGUGAAGCAACAAAAUGGAUUUCAAGCAAUUGGUCCUUGCGGAGAUGUUGUGCUCUCGUUCUUCAAAUGAGCUACUUUUGGGAAGGCAGGCAUAUCAUUAAUCUUGCUAUAAGAAGUCCCUGGAGAGAAUGUUGUGAUGCGCAUCACAACUGGGGAUUUCUGCAAGGGAUUCAGGGUGAUGAGGUGAAUAUGACUUACAAAAUCGAAGGAUAACUUGCUCCGUGGAAAGAUCUCAGAGGGGAAAUACAAUCAUGAGGAUAUCAUCAGAAUGUUGGCUACAUGGGGCAGGGGACAAAUCAAUGCAACUCUCAAUCACUACAAAAAUCAAUUUCUGAUGAGGGUUUGAAAGCUGUGACCCCUAGGAUGAGGUUCUUGUGUUUGAUGGCUGAGUGUUAUUUCGAGAGGGAAUACUAUGGCUCAAGCCUCAAGGAGUACCGGGAACGGGGAAAGGUGUAGUCUCUCUGGAUAAAGCCUUUUAGAAGAUGGAGAUUAUGAGUCCAUGCUUCUUGUCUUAGUGUUGUACUAUGAUAAUGCAUUACAUUUAAUGUUUGGUUCUUUUGUUUUAUAGUUAUGCCUUAAAUAAAAUUAUCUGCAACAAUAUGAUAAUUACAUAUAUUCAUAUUAUAGAAAGAAAUAUUCCUUCAACAAACUUGAAGUUGCUGACAAAAAUGUACUGAUAAGCAAAGCUUGUAUUAGAGCAUUUGA